GCCCGCAUAGCUCAGUUGGUAGAGCACCUGAUUUGUAAUCAGGAUGUCGGGGGUUCGAGACCCUCUGCGGGCUCCA
rnacentral:tRNA from 1 species